rnacentral:misc_RNA from 1 species
GAUGAAGAACGCAGUGAAAUGCGAUAAUUAAUGUGAAUUGCAGAAUUCCGUGAAUCAUCGAGUCUUUGAACGCACAUUGCGCCUCAUGGCAUUCCGUGAGGCAUGCCCAUCUCAGCGUUAGAAAAUAUUCUCAAAUUUUAGUUUUGUGCUAAAAUUUGGAUCAUGUCAAGGAAGCUAUUACUAUUAUUGUGAUCGCUCUUUGGAAAUUGAUAGGUCUUUGAGUUGCUACUCAUAGAACGUGAUGAAUCUUUCUUCGUUCUAUUGUAAUUCACUCUGGUAGUCCUAAAACUUGUAUGCCUGUGGCAUAUCUUGUAAUUUGACCUGAGAUUGGGUAGGGAUACCCGCUAAACUUAAGCAUAUCAAUAAGCGGAGGA